CCAUUGACUCCUAGACAAGUAUAUAAGGAUCAAGUCAAGUUAAGGAGAUCAAUUGAGAAAGCAAACACUAGUGAGGCUAAGAGUAAAAGUGUAAAAAAAGGAGAGGUCGAGAGUUCUAGUGAGGAAAAGAAAGUGAUUGAGAGUAAAAAAUAAAGAGAUGAGUUAAAAGUCAUUGAGUGAGACUAGAAAGAAAGUGAGUCCAGUGCAAA
rnacentral:misc_RNA from 1 species